rnacentral:rRNA from 1 species
AGCAGCCGCGGUAAUUCCAGCUCCAAUAGCGUAUAUUAAAGUUGUUGCAGUUAAAAAGCUCGUAGUUGAAUUUCGGGAUUGACACAUCGGUCGUGCCUUAAGGGGUAUGAACUGGUGUAGUCAAUUUCUCACCUUCUGGAGAACCGCGAUGCCCUUAAUUGGGUGUCGCGGGGAACCAGGACCUUUACUUUGAAAAAAUUAGAGUGUUUAAAGCAGGCAUUUUGCUUGAAUACAUUAGCAUGGAAUAAUAAAAUAGGACGGCAUGAUUCUAUUUUGUUGGUUUCUAGGAUCACCGUAAUGAUUAAUAGGGAUAGUUGGGGGCAUUAGUAUUCAAUUGUCAGAGGUGAAAUUCUUGGAUUUAUUGAAGACUAACUACUGCGAAAGCAUUUGCCAAGGAUGUUUUCAUUAAUCAAGAACGAAAGUUAGGGGAUCGAAGACGAUCAGAUACCGUCGUAGUCUUAACCAUAAACUAUGCCGACUAGGAAUCAGACGAUGUUAAUUUUUUAAUGUA